rnacentral:rRNA from 1 species
UUAACUUAAGAGUUUGAUCAUGGCUCAGAACGAACGCUGGCGGCAUGCUUAACACAUGCAAGUCGAACGAAGUCUUCGGACUUAGUGGCGCACGGGUGAGUAACAUGUGGGAAUCUACCUAGAGGUUU